rnacentral:rRNA from 1 species
CUCAACCGGGGGAUGGCACUUGAAACUGCGGAGCUAGAGUUCUGGAGAGGGUGGCGGAAUUCCCGGUGUAGGAGUGAAAUCCGUAGAGAUCGGGAGGAACACCAGAGGCGAAGGCGGCCACCUGGCCAGAAACUGACGCUGAGGCGCGAAAGCGUGGGUAGCAAACAGGAUUAGAUACCCUGGUAGUCCACGCUGUAAACACUGGAUGCUAGAUGCGGGUGACGUAGAAGUCAUUCGUGUCGCAGCUAACGCGUUAAGCAUCCCGCCUGGGGAGUACGGCCGCAAGGCUGAAACUCAAAGGAAUUGACGGGGGCCUGCACAAGCGGUGGAGUAUGUGGUUUAAUUCGAUGCAACGCGAAGAACCUUACCUGGGCUUGACAUCCCGGGAGUCCGCUGGAGACAGCGGGGUGCCCUUCGGGGAGCCC